rnacentral:rRNA from 1 species
ACGAACGCUGGCGGCAUGCCUAACACAUGCCAGUCGAACGAGACCUUCGGGUCUAGUGGCGCACGGGUGCGUAACGCGUGGGAACCUGCCCUUAGGUUCGGAAUAACUCCCCGAAAGGGGUGCUAAUACCGAAUAAUGUCUUCGGACCAAAGAUUUAUCGCCUUUGGAUGGGCCCGCGUUGGAUUAGCUAGUUGGUAGGGUAAAAGCCUACCAAGGCGACGAUCCAUAGCUGGUCUGAGAGGAUGAUCAGCCACACUGGGACUGAGACACGGCCCAGACUCCUACGGGAGGCAGCAGUGGGGAAUAUUGGACAAUGGGCGAAAGCCUGAUCCAGCAAUGCCGCGUGAGUGAUGAAGGCCUUAGGGUUGUAAAGCUCUUUUACCCGGGAUGAUAAUGACAGUACCGGGAGAAUAAGCUCCGGCUAACUCCGUG